UUAAACUUUUUCUUUUUGGGAUAAAUGUCACUUCCUUGUACAAGAAGGUUCCCAUUUCCAGCCUAGAUAAUUGUAAACUAGACCUUCUUUUGUUCAACUCCUGAGAAUUCAUGGAAGCAUGCAUAUAAUUCACAUAUAACUUUAAUCCAAUAUUUCAUUUUUGCAAUGUCAAAUGCCAAUUUGACUUGCUAAAAAAUAUAAACAACCUCAAAAACAAAAGGAAAAAAAAAAAAAAAAAAACUCUCCCAAAAAUCCUAGGAUUUAUUCCAUGGAAAUUUUGUUAAUUUCGGUAAUAAUAAAUCAGUAAUACCCAAAUGGUACAAUAAAAUUUUCAACUUGAUUGAAUUGAUUGUUAGAAAAAUCUAUACAUGCAAAAAAAAUAAUGAGGGAAAAAAGAAAAUUAAAAAAAAAAGAAGAAAAAGAAAAAUAAAAAAGGGCAAAAAGAAAUUAAAAUUUGUGGUUUUAUAUUGCAAACGUGGAAAGGUUGAAAGCAAAUUGGGGUUUGGGAGUCCAAUAAAGACGACGGAACAGCAACCAGACACACUUGGGAGUGAAGCAGAGCUGAGUCCAAGGGUGGUUCGCCGAGCAAAAGGGCCAAGAAUUUCACGGAUAAAGCUUCGGGAGAUUUUGUGGAAGGUUUAGCUCCACGAUUCUUUUCGAAUGAAUAAGUAUUAUUGGAAGAGUAAGACAAUAUUAUCUCUUUAUAGUAUCCAAUCAUUCAUAUUUGAACAACAUUCCUAAAUUGUAAGUUGUCCAAAUGCGUUUUGCAUUUGGCUUACUUAGCUUUGUGAGCAUGGUGGAUGAAUGGUGUCCAUUUUAGGAGACAUGCCGACAUUUAGUGGUUGGUCAUAUUUAUGUAUAUAAAUUGGUGGCAGAUUUUUACCAUUUUGCUACAUUGCAGAAAUGAAGGUUGGGAAGGGGGAAUGUAAUGAGAUCUGGUAUGGGUGGGUGAGAUGUGUUUUCUUGUUUCUUUAAUUAGGGAGUUGGUGUGUGGGUGAUGAAAUGACAAACGGUAUGAAAUGAAUUUGAGGGAAGAGUAGGGAUUUAAGUUUGGCCUCAUUCUAAUGAAGUGCCUGUAAUUUUCUUCAUUUGUUGUAUAUAGCUUUCGGUCUUUCAUGUAUAUUAAAUUUGGGCAGGUAAAGAUGGAGUUUUUA